GUGAAUAUCUUUUAUCCAGCUCAUAUAUACCCUCAAUAAGGCAGGGAGUAUCUACCGGAAGCCGUAAAUUUCUGACUAUGAGCGGAAUUAUUAUGGUA
rnacentral:ncRNA from 2 species